rnacentral:misc_RNA from 1 species
GCUUAUUGAUAUUUGGCUCGAGCUCGAAAAAAUUUUAAUAAACCAAGUUUGAGCUCUUCAAAGUUUGGCUCGACUUGGUUUGUUUACACCCUUAUUGACUAGGAUGGAAGUUUUACUCUUCAAUAGUCACCUUUGUCUUCCUAUGUAUAUGUGUUAUAUAAGAAAGAAUAAAUCAUAAUUAGGCUCUUGGUUAUUCAGAAUUGCCAAAAACAAUGUAUCAUAUCACAUGAAAUACUUCAUCUAAGAACUAUAGUGGAAUUCUUUGUUUUGUCUGAUGAAGAAGGUCAUCCUUUUAUUUGUUCUUCUUCCACAAUCCAAAGCAGCAAAUUCCUGUUAGAUAUUUUCUGUGAAAUUUGAUCUUUUCAAAAUUGUCAAACAAAUGUGCUUGCUGUUGUAGGAUUUACUAUUUUGUUUUUAUGUUUGCUGUACGUUUACUGAAAGGCAAUUUACUAAUGAAUGAAAAGACAUGCCAAAUAGAGGUGUGUAGAGAGUAGUGAUCUCAGCCAUGUCAAAACAAAGGCAAAGAUGAACUACAAAUACAACUAAGAGCAGGGGAUGGGUAGGAAAAUUUAAAGGAUUAUCAAAGACCAAUAUGACUAUGGGACAUGCUUAUGUUCCUUGAACUUUGUUUCUGAUCUAGCCACAAAAAAAAAAAAAAAA